rnacentral:rRNA from 1 species
UAUUGCACAAUGGGGGAAACCCUGAUGCAGCGACGCCGCGUGAGUGAAGAAGUAUUUCGGUAUGUAAAGCUCUAUCAGCAGGGAAGAAAAUGACGGUACCUGAUUAAGAAGCCCCGGCUAACUACGUGCCAGCAACCGCGGUAAUACGUAGGGGGCAAGCGUUAUUCGGAUUUACUGGGUGUAAAGGGAGCGGAGACGGCAGCACAAGGCUGGAGUGAAAUGCCGAGGCUUAACCCCGGAACUGCUUUGGAAACUGUGCAGCUAGAGUGCAGGAGAGGUAAGUGGAAUUCCUAGUAUAGCGGUGAAAUGCGUAGAUAUUAGGAGGAACACCAGUGGCGAAGGCGGCUUACUGGACUGUAACUGACGUUGAGGCUCGAAAGCGUAGGGAGCAAACAGG